UAGCAUCAGUAGUAACUACUUCACAGGAAGGAUGCCUGAGUUUGGCAAUUGGAAACAACUUCAUUAUGUAGAGAUGGAAGCAAGUGGUUUCAGUGGGCCAAUUCCUCCUAGUAUUUCUACCUUGGCAUACUUAAGAGAGUUAAGUAUAACUGACUUAAAUGGGGAGAACUCAUCAGAUUUUCCCGACUUGAGUAAAAUGACAGACCUUUCUAAGUUG